GUACACCUGAGUCACAACAUAUUAUAAACCCACACCAACCAUACCUGGAGGACACACAGGUAGUCAAGUACACCUGAGUCACAACAUAUUAUAAACCCACACCAACCAUACCUGGAGGAGACACAGGUAGUCAAGUACACCUGAGUCACAACAUAUUAUAAACCCACACCAACCAUACCUGGAGGAGACACAGGUAGUCAAGUACACCUGAGUCACAUCAUAUUAUAAACCCACACCAACCAUACCUGGAGGAGA